rnacentral:tRNA from 2 species
GCGGGCGUGGCGGAACUGGCAGACGCGACGGACUUAGGAUCCGUUGGGUAAAACCGUGGGGGUUCAAGUCCCUUCGCCCGCACCA